rnacentral:rRNA from 1 species
AUUGAACGCUGGCGGCAUGCCUUACACAUGCAAGUCGAACGGCAGCGGGGGAGAAGCUUGCUUUUCCUGCCGGCGAGUGGCGAACGGGUGAGUAAUACAUCGGAACGUGCCCUGUAGUGGGGGAUAACUAGUCGAAAGAUUAGCUAAUACCGCAUACGACCUGAGGGUGAAAGUGGGGGACCGCAAGGCCUCAUGCUAUAGGAGCGGCCGAUGUAUGAUUAGCUAGUUGGUGGGGUAAAGGCCUACCGAGGCGACGACCAGUAGCUGGUCUGAGAGGACGAUCAGCCACACUGGGACUGAGACGCGGCCCAGACUCCUACGGGAGGCAGCAGUGGGGAAUUUUGGACAAUGGGCGAAAGCCUGAUCCAGCAAUGCCGCGUGUGUGAAGAAGGCCUUCGGGUUGUAAAGCACUUUUGUCCGGAAAGAAAUGGCUCUGGUUAAUACCUGGGGUCGAUGACGGUACCGGAAGAAUAAGGACCGGCUAACUACGUGCCAGCAGCCGCGGUAA